ACUUGGAUAACUGUAGUAAUUCUAGAGCUAAUACAUGAAUAUGUGCUUUGGUUCACGCCAAAUGCGAAUUUAUUAGAUCAAAACCAACCGGUUUCGGCCGUUAAAUUGGUGACUCUGGAUAACUAUUCUGAUCGCAUGACCUUGUGUCGGCGACGUAUCUUUCAAGUGUCUGCCCUAUCAACUUAAGUUGGUGAGUUAGUUGCUCACCAUGGUUAUAACGGGUAACGGAGAAUCAGUGUUCGAUGCCGGAGAGGGAGCCUUAGAAACGGCUACCACAUCUAAGGAAGGCAGCAGGCGCGCAAAUUACCCACUCUCAGAACGAGGAGGUAGUGAAUUUAAAUAGCGAUGAUGAACUCUUAUGAGGCUCGUCAAUCGAAAUGAGUACAAUUUAAAUCCUUUAACGAGUACCAAUUGGAGGGCAAGUCUGGUGCCAGCAGCCGCGGUAAUUCCAGCUCCAAUAGCGAAUAUUAAAUUUGUUGCAGUUAAAAAGCUCGUAGUUGGAUCCAAGGUUAGGCAUGCCUGUCUGUUCUUAGUAGCAUGACUGUGUGGGUCUGCCUUUAUUAGUUGAAUGUUCAUUAUGGUGGUCUUCAUCGACUGCUAUGAUGUGCUCAACACGUUUACCUUGAAAAAAUCAGAGCGAUCAAGGCAGGCCUUCGUGCUUGUAUGUUGUUGCAAGGAAUAAUAGAAUAGGACUUCGGUUCUAUUUUGUUGGUUUUGAGAAUUGAAGUAAUGAACAAUAGAGACAGUCGGGGGCAUUUGUAUGGUGGCGUUAGAGGUGAAAUUCUGAGAUCGUCGCCAGACAAACUACUGCGAAAGCAUUUGCCAAGGAUGUCUUCAUUAAUCAAGAACGAAAGUCAGAGGUUCGAAGACGAUCAGAUACCGUCCUAGUUCUGACCAUAAACGAUGCCGACCUACAAUCGGGGGUGGUUUAUUAUAUUGACCCUCCCGGCUGUCCUCGGGAAACUUUAAGUUGGUUCUGGGGGGAAUAUGGUCUCAAGACUGAAACUUAAAGGAAUUGACGGAAGGGCGCCACCAGGAGUGGAGCCUGCGGCUUAAUUUGACCCAACACGGGGAAUCUCACCCGGUCCGGACACUGGUAGGAUGGACAGAUUGAUAGCUCUUUCUUGAUUCAGUGGGUGGUGGUGCAUGGCCGUUCUUAGUUGGUGGAGUGAUUUGUCUGGUUAAUUCCGAUAACGAACGAGACUCUGUCCUGCUAAAUAGUCCAGUGGCAUCAAUCACUAUGCG
rnacentral:rRNA from 1 species